GCGAGCGGCGGAUGGGUGAGUAACACGUGGGGAACCUGCCCCUAAGUCUGGGAUACCAUUUGGAAACAGGUGCUAAUACCGGAUAAUAAAGCAGAUCGCAUGAUCAGCUUUUGAAAGGCGGCGUAAGCUGUCGCUAAGGGAUGGCCCCGCGGUGCAUUAGCUAGUUGGUAAGGUAACGGCUUACCAAGGCGACGAUGCAUAGCCGAGUUGAGAGACUGAUCGGCCACAUUGGGACUGAGACACGGCCCAAACUCCUACGGGAGGCAGCAGUAGGGAAUCUUCCACAAUGGACGCAAGUCUGAUGGAGCAACGCCGCGUGAGUGAAGAAGGUUUUCGGAUCGUAAAGCUCUGUUGUUGGUGAAGAAGGAUAGAGGUAGUAACUGGCCUUUAUUUGACGGUAAUCAACCAGAAAGUCACGGCUAACUACGUGCCAGCAGCCGCGGUAAUACGUAGGUGGCAAGCGUUGUCCGGAUUUAUUGGGUGUAAAGCGAGCGCAGGCGGAAAAAUAAGCCUAAUGUGAAAGCCCUCGGCUUAACCGAGGAACUGCAUCGGAAACUGUUUUUCUUGAGUGCAGAAGAGGAGAGUGGAACUCCAUGUGUA
rnacentral:rRNA from 1 species